AUGAGGCCAGGGAAAGGAAUAUUCUAUGGCUGGUAAUCCAGGACAACAAUGCACUUUUAAUUAACAUUAAUUCCCCAGGAGGACAAAACAAAGUGGCCAAGAUCCAUUGCUGGGAAGGAGGGGCAGACAACAGGCUGGCAGGAGCAAGAUUCUACAAUUGUAAUCCACCCUGGGGCCUUAUAGUGAAGGGCAGGAGGCCAUCAGGAGUGUUUCAUUUUGAGAGAUGGUGGGACCCAAUGCUACCUAUGAACCACACACCCUCCAAUCUGAAAGCCCUCUUCCUGUUCCCCCAAGUGCAGGGGGCUGCUUCCAUGUGCUAUCCUUCUCCACCCUUGCCCCUGCCAAUGGA